GUGGAGUCAACACUGGCUAAUAAAACACUGAUCUGCCACACAAAAAUGCGCUGAAGUGAUACAGAGGAUGAAUGAUGAUUCUACCGAACUGCAAAAGCUUUUCCAUGCCUCUCUCCUAAUUUUCUUUUUACAUUGCCUCAGUUGUAUUUAAACAAUGCCCUUAGGUUCACCUUGUAAGUCUCCCAGUCGGCUGUUUUUAGUGAAUUUAGCCGUGUUGGGCAGUUCCAGUCUGUAUUUUUGCUUCGCGAGCGAUUUGUACCACCAGGAGUAUUUUCAGAGUUGCUUGUUACUCCUCAUGGCUCAUACUGCAUAUCCGUUCAUAGAACCUCAGGAUUGUAUCGCUCGGAAACGGUUACUGGAGGAUGUUCGCAGGGUACGGAACGGAGUGUCGUGUCCACUGCUGUUAGACCGGUUUCCUAUGCACUCUGAACUAGGACUGAUCGUAUACACACGGAUGCGGACGAUCUCGGGAUCGUUAUAACAGGAAAGUUUCUAAACACCGCGAAAGAGCUCUUCAACAAGUGGAUAGGUGGUACAGUAGCCAUGGCCUCUCCGUUAACCCGGAAAAGACUGAGGUUGUUCCAUUUACGAAUACGAGGGCGGACUCUUGAAUGGCGUCAACUGGGUCUGACCAAGUUAGCGAAAUAUUUGGGAAUUAUCAUAUAAGACCUGACAUAGAAAGGGCACAUUGAGCGAAUAAGUAAAAAAGUCACUGCAUGUCUAUGGGCAUGUAGAAGGGCUUUUGGCUGUACAUGGGGCUUGAACCCUCGAUUGGUACUUUGGCUUUACACGGUAAUGAUAAGGCCAAGGUACGGUACACUAGGAUGGUAGCUGCCAUGAGCAGGGCAACUUACAGAAAGCAGCUAUGUAAGGUACAGACGGUGGAGCCAUGCAAGCCACGCUAACUUUGACUGUGGAGGUACUUCCGGGACUGCUUUUCAUUUGUACAGACACCAGAGAGAUAAGUUUUACUUUAGCGUUUCGUAGUGGUUUUAAAUUUUUCCCGCGGAAUUUGUUUUAAAAUUUGUGUAAUCGAGGCGAGUGGUUGCCCUUGCAUGGACAUACGUACGAUAAGCAAAAAUGUGAGCUUAUUCUUUGCCCAUUUUUUUAAAUUUAUAUAAAGCCAUUGUUAAUUUGGUACUUUGGGGUGUUUGUGCCGUUAUUCGGCCGUUGGUUAGAAUUAUAAUUAUUGCCUUUCGUUGGAAAUUGAUGAAUACCCACCUAUUAGCCAGGAGUUGAAGUAAAAAAGGAAGUUCCAUUUUCCGCUACUCGGGUUACGAAUAAAACAGGAGUGUUUCUUAUCGUCAUUAACGGCUACGAUAAGGUUGAACUGCAGGUAACCUUUGGGAAAAUACCAGGGGUCGUGCGAGACAUUAAGUACGCCCUUCAGUUAAUUUUUAGCUUGACGCCACGGCGCUUAACUCAUAUAAAAAAACAUUUUUGUCAGUCUUACUCCUUUAUCCCUAAUGUACCCUGCCAAAAUUUUAACGAUUUCAUAGUAUCUGUUGUUACCUUCUUGUUACUUCCCAUGCAUUUUCUUUAUACCGAUUAUCGUGAUAAUAUUUAUCACUAGAUUAUAGUAUAUUGCCGAACUAGAUCAAUAGCAGUUUCGUCCAUUGUGUACAGCAGAAAGCACUUGUUACCAAAAGCAAUCAAAUGAAGGGAUGGUUUAGCGAAUCAUUUUUUUUAUCAAUACGAGGUUUCUUAAUUCUCAAUUUCAAUUUGGAUAUUUAAUUUUUAGGCUUGAGCUCAUUUCAGGAAAGCAAACCCGAAAAGGGACUGUGUUACGCCUAAAUGAAAGUUCAAAUAUACCUCGGCGACCAUAUAAGUUUCUGCACUUUCCACAUAUUUAGAAAAUCCUAAACAUCAGAAUGUUUUGAACAGUUUGAAGAUUCUAAAUGUACAGGUUGAGGAUUAUGAAUAUUUUGAGAAUCUACAUUAUACAACCUUUUGAAAACACGAAAAAAUUCAAAAGAUAUUUCAAAGUUUACAAAAGAUCGUAAGAUUUUGAAUUUUUAGAAGGCUUUGAUUUCAAAAAAAUGAGCAUUCUAAAUAUCUAUAUUUAAACGUCCGAAGAUGAUGGUCUCGUGUAAUUUUUUGUACUUUUGUCAUUAGUGCAGAAUUUUCCAACUCGUGUGAGUUGUUUACUAUUCUCCUUAUAUUCUUUCACUUAAUUCGUUUUACAAAAAACUUACCCUACUACCCUUCCUAUGCAUCAGACAAUAUGGUUUGAUGUUUUCCCGAAGAAAUUGAUGAUCCCAGCAUAUCCAAAAAGAAAGAGUUAACAAAAAAUUUUAUUCCUUGCCGUUUACUGGACAAAACUGGUGAAUAUAGCUUUGCUCCACCCACAUAACUAAAGAGAGAGUUCGACACCAAAAACACAAAAUUUAGUUUUGCAUAUCACAACAAUGUGUUUCCCUGAUGAACAGAAAAAGCACAAAAUUUAAUUCUGGCAUAUCAAAACACUUUUUUAUCUAAUAAAAUAACAUGCAUUUAUUUUUGUAUGAAUUAGUAUUUUAUAUACAAUUAAGAGCUUUUGGGAACAAGGAUGUGUGGUUAUGUAAUUCCAUAAAACCGGUGCUGAUGAGUUUGGUACGGUCGAAGGAGUUCUUAAGGAUGUCAUGCAAAUAAGGGAGCUUGUUCUCUAACGAAAACGAUUUAAUGGCUAAACAUAAUGGGACAUAUUUGAUUAUGGAAAAUGGUUCAAAAUAUCAGACAAAGAGAACAAAACAAUAAAUAAUUUUCUCGUAAAUAUCGUCGAAUUUUACGCCAUUUUGUUAAUUAUGGAUAUAUGUAAAGAUUUAAGUUGGUUUGUCCAUUUAUCUAAGGCAUUAUAACGAGUUGCGUUGACAGUGGUACGAUCCAAAAGUAGAACCUGAUUAACUUGAUCGAUGCGACCAUGAAUAGUACUAACAAAAUAAAAGUAUUACAAUAAAAAUAUAUUGUACUAUACUAUAUUUACCUAUCUAGAAUGCAAGAAACCAGCAGAUUUUCGACUUCCAUUACAUCAAUAUUUAAUUCCGUCGAUAUGUGAGGAAUAUAAAUUCGCGUGUAUGGAUUAAUUAGUUUAAUCAAUACUUGAGUUCUAAUAUUUCUCAGAAGAUCUGCAACGGGAAGAGCAUAUAAAGGGUUCAAUAUACACAAUGAGAUCUUGCCUUCAAUGUGUUCACGAAUAAAAGGAUCAUCCAUAAUAUUUUGCCGAUUCUGUUUCAAAAUUAAUUCAAAUUCGUUAAUAUCAUUGGUUUGAUAAGCGUUAACCAAAUUGGUCAUUGCCAAAAUUUCUGAAUCAUUUUUGUAUGGUUUCGCCUCUUGAGAAUCAAAUGGGUUGAUUCCCGACUUCAUAAGCCUAAAACAUUUCCUUGCAAAGUCUGCAUUUGAAUUCCUGACUUACAUAUUCGCCAAGACUAAGUACUUGAGGCAAGUAGUACGACGAGGACUUCCGGAUUCGUCGUAAUUCUUAAACGCCUCAAAAAAGUCAGUGUGCGCCUUCUCAAAUUCGCCUUCGCGUAAGUGCAUUUUACCCCCACAUUCUGAAUGUUAUACAAAUGGUUAUACUCAAGGUUAUACAUAAUUAUGAAUUACCUCUUAUGACUCCCAUAAUUAAGGGAUGAGGAAUUGCGGAUUUUAUAUGAAGACUUUGCUCAUACAACGCCUUCAAUUUUUUGUUAUUCUUUUGUUCGGUGUACAUUUGUAUUUCUAAA